GACGAACGCUGGCGGCGUGCUUAACACAUGCAAGUCGAACGAGAGCGUAGGGAAAGCUUGCUUUUUCUACAAUCUAGUGGCAAACGGGUGAGUAACGCGUAAACAACCUGCCCUACGGAUGGGGACAACAGCUGGAAACGGCUGCUAAUACCGAAUACGUUCCGAAAGUCGCAUGACUAUCGGAAGAAAGGAUGGCCUCUAUUUAUAAGCUAUCGCCGGAGGAGGGGUUUGCGUCUGAUUAGCUAGUUGGAGGGGUAACGGCCCACCAAGGCGACGAUCAGUAGCCGGUCUGAGAGGAUGAACGGCCACAUUGGAACUGAGACACGGUCCAGACUCCUACGGGAGGCAGCAGUGGGGAAUCUUCCGCAAUGGGCGAAAGCCUGACGGAGCAACGCCGCGUGAGUGAAGACGGCCUUCGGGUUGUAAAGCUCUGUUAUACGGGACGAAUAAUCUUGUGGUUAAUACCCAUGAGAAGUGACGGUACCGUAAGAGAAAGCCACGGCUAACUACGUG
rnacentral:rRNA from 1 species